rnacentral:rRNA from 1 species
GACGUAGGGGGCCAGCGUUGCUCGGAAUUACUGGGCGUAAAGGGUUCGUAGGCGGUGUGGCAAGUCGGAAGUGAAAUCUCUGGGCUCAACCCAGAGGCUGCUCCCGAAACUGCCAUGCUAGAGUGUGGGAGAGGCGAGUGGAAUUACAGGUGUAGCGGUGAAAUGCGUAGAUAUCUGUAGGAACACCCGUGGCGAAGGCGGCUCGCUGGACCACAACUGACGCUGAGGAACGAAAGCUAGGGGAGCAAACAGG